rnacentral:rRNA from 2 species
CAGUACAAGCCUAAUUAAGGUGAAACCGCGAAAGGCUCAUUAAAUCAGUUAUGGUUCCUUAGAUCGUACGCACAUUUACUUGAAUAACUGUGGUAAUUCUAGAGCUAAUACAUGCAAACAGAGCUCCGACCAGAGAUGGAAGGAGUGCUUUUAUUAGAUCAAAACCAAUCGGCGGCAGUCACUUCGGUGUCUGUUCGUCGCCCUAUUUGGUGACUCUGAAUAACUUUAUGCUGAUCGCACGGUCUUGCACCGGCGACGCAUCUAUCAAAUGUCUGCCUUAUCAACUGUCGAUGGUAGGUUCUGCGCCUACCAUGGUUGUAACGGGUAACGGGGGAUCAGGGUUCGAUCCCGGAGAGGGAGCCUGAGAAACGGCUACCACAUCCAAGGAAGGCAGCAGGCGCGCAAAUUACCCACUCCCGGCACGGGGAGGUAGUGACGAAAAAUAACGAUACGGGACUCAUCCGAGGCCCCGUAAUCGGAAUGAGUACACUUUAAGUCCUUUAACCAGGAACCAUUGGAGGGCAAGUCUGGUGCCAGCAGCUGCGGUAAUUCCAGCUCCAAUAGCGUAUAUUAAAGUUGUUGCGGGUAAAAAGCUCGUAGUUGAAUCUGUGUCCCGUGCUGUCGGUUCACCGCCCGCGGUGCUAACUGGCACGUCUCACGGGACGUCCUGCCGGUGG